UACGAAGGGGGCUAGCGUUGCUCGGAAUCACUGGGCGUAAAGCGCACGUAGGCGGAUUGUUAAGUCAGGGGUGAAAUCCUGGAGCUCAACUCCAGAACUGCCUUUGAUACUGAGAAGCUUGAGUCCGGGAGAGGUGAGUGGAACUGCGAGUGUAGAGGUGAAAUUCGUAGAUAUUCGCAAGAACACCAGUGGCGAAGGCGGCUCACUGGCCCGGUACUGACGCUGAGGCGCGAAAGCGUGGGGAGCAAACAGG
rnacentral:rRNA from 1 species